GCAGCGGCAAAAUUCGCUGUCGGGCGUGAGAACCCGGAUUUCACCAUAGCGCACAACCGCGCUUACGCGGUUUUUUU
rnacentral:sRNA from 1 species